rnacentral:rRNA from 1 species
GAUGAACGCUGGCGGCGUGCCUAAUACAUGCAAGUCGAGCGAACAGACGAGAGUGCUUGCACUCUCUGACGUUAGCGGCGGACGGGUGAGUAACACGUGGGUAACCUACCUAUAAGACUGGGAUAACUUCGGGAAACCGGAGCUAAUACCGGAUAAUAUUUAGCUUCGCAUGAAGCAAUAGUGAAAGACGGUUCUGCUGUCACUUAUAGAUGGACCCGCGGUGUAUUAGCUAGUUGGUGAGGUAACGGCUCACCAAGGCAACGAUACAUAGCCGACCUGAGAGGGUGAUCGGCCACACUGGGACUGAGACACGGACCAGACUCCUACGGGAGGCAGCAGUAGGGAAUCUUCCGCAAUGGACGAAAGUCUGACGGAGCAAUGCCGCGUGAGUGAAGAAGGUGUUCGGAUCGUAAAACUCUGCUGUAAGGGAAGAACAAGUACGUUAGUAACUGAACGUACCUUGACGGUACCUUACCAGAAAGCCACGGCUAACUACGUG